rnacentral:rRNA from 1 species
CGACCGGCGCACGGGUGAGUAACGCGUAUGCAACCUGCCUGAUACCGGGGUAUAGCCCAUGGAAACGUGGAUUAACACCCCAUAGUACUUUUAUCCUGCAUGGGAUGUGAGUUAAAUGUUCAAGGUAUCGGAUGGGCAUGCGUCCUAUUAGUUAGUUGGCGGGGUAACGGCCCACCAAGACGAUGAUAGGUAGGGGUUCUGAGAGGAAGGUCCCCCACAUUGGAACUGAGACACGGUCCAA